rnacentral:rRNA from 1 species
UACGUAGGGUGCAAGCGUUGUCCGGAAUUAUUGGGCGUAAAGAGCUCGUAGGCGGUUUGUCGCGUCUGCUGUGAAAACCCGAGGCUCAACCUCGGGCCUGCAGUGGGUACGGGCAGACUAGAGUGCGGUAGGGGAGAUUGGAAUUCCUGGUGUAGUGGUGGAAUGCGCAGAUAUCAGGAGGAACACCAAUGGCGAAGGCAGAUCUCUGGGCCGUAACUGACGCUGAGGAGCGAAAGCAUGGGGAGCGAACAGG